rnacentral:rRNA from 3 species
UGGGGAAUAUUGCGCAAUGGGGGAAACCCUGAUGCAGCGACGCCGCGUGAACGAAGAAGGUAUUCGUAUCGUAAAGUUCUGUCCUAUGGGAAGAUAAUGACAGUACCAUAGAAGAAAGCUCCGGCUAAAUACGUGCCAGCAGCCGCGGUAAUACGUAUGGAGCGAGCGUUGUCCGGAAUUAUUGGGCGUAAAGGGUACGCAGGCGGUUUAAUAAGUCGAAUGUUAAAGAUCGGGGCUCAACCCCGUAAAGCAUUGGAAACUGAUAAACUUGAGUAGUGGAGAGGAAAGUGGAAUUCCUAGUGUAGUGGUGAAAUACGUAGAUAUUAGGAGGAAUACCAGUAGCGAAGGCGACUUUCUGGACACAAACUGACGCUGAGGUACGAAAGCGUGGGGAGCAAACAGG